rnacentral:rRNA from 1 species
GACGAACGCUGGCGGCGUGCUUAACACAUGCAAGUCGAGCGGUAAGGCCCUUUCGGGGGUACACGAGCGGCGAACGGGUGAGUAACACGUGGGUGACCUGCCUUUAGCUCUGGGAUAAGCCUGGGAAACUGGGUCUAAUACCGGAUAUGACUCCAUGAUGCAUGUUGUGGGGUGGAAAGCCUUGUGCGGCUGGAGAUGGGCCCGCGGCCUAUCAGCUUGGUUGGUGGGGUGAUGGCCUACCAAGGCGACGACGGGUAGCCGGCCUGAGAGGGCGACCGGCCAC